CUCUCAAUGCUGGGGCCCAGCUCGCCGCUUGUUCCCAGGGGUCGCAGGGGCAGCCAUGGCUCAGGACCCUGCUUGCUGGGAGAUAGCACUCCAUGCUGAGCGAGGAUGCAGAAAGGCUGCAAAUCCAGAGCUACAAAGUCACAACCGCAAGGGGAGGUCUCCAACGGAUCUCGGUGCCUCCACUCCCACGGCAAGCGUUGAUCCCGUCCGUGAUGGUUGAAGCUCUGCACUCGGCUGGCUCCCGCUGCCUUUCCGCCUAUGUGGGUUCAAGUUCCCAUUGCAGUACCGGAUGAUUUUACUUUGGUGCCAUAAGGAGCACAAAGAUAAUCUGAUGACUACACAGUAGGAGCAUUUAAAAUCGUCUAGGCAAGCACAGAGCAGGACACUCUGCCACUGGCCACCUGAGCCCAGGGCCACCCUGUGAGUGCACAGACAGCUGGAAGGAGGCACUUUAAAGCAUAACAUGAUGACUAUAUCCAUUUGACUAACUCACUGUGACCAGCCCACUGGGGUAGGUGAGAAGGGGGGAUCAGAGCUUUCAACUGACAGUGCACCAAGUUCUCUGGGAUUAUUCAUUGGCAGGCAGCAUGGGAAGUUGUUUGGGCAAAGACGUGAAUCUCCAUCCCCUAAGAAUGUCAGAAGCAAAACACGAGCGGCAAAGAUGCGCCUGGGCUGAAUGCAGGGGGCCUGUUCUCACCCCAGCAUGCACAGAGUGAUGGGUCUCUGCUCUCACAAGCUCCCAGCCAAGACAAGCUUAACCAGGAUGAUCCUCCUUUUUGACUUCCCCGUGGAACAGCAGAGUCCACCAUCCCGGUCCAAGGGGUCUAGCCUCCAGAUGGGUGACGCCACACAUGCCCAUAACGCUGGGCGUGUGAGGCCAGCACGCACCACAGAGCUCCCUAGCUUUGCUUUUUACAGAGACGUUUGCAUCCUCCCCUAGCGUCACAGUUGGCUGGUCAGAUUCCAGUUUCUCCUAACUCCAGACCAGCUCAGUUUGCUCUUCUCACACGGAGCUUGAUCGUAUGCAGUCUCGUAAAUUUCAGCCGCACAUUCCCAAGGGACGUUGGAUUUAUCGCUCUCUCUGCCUUUGUAGAGCACUUGGAGAUGUUCAGAGGAAAAGUGCGAUACGAGGACAAGUAUUAUCCUUGUUAAUGACACAGCAUCUCUGACAACUACUUUAAGACAACACAUUUCCAGGGGCUGUGAAAUCCAGAGCCACAGUCCUUGAUGUUGUCUUAAGAGACAUCACAUUUGUGAAUAUGAAUAAAUUCUGCUGACCACAAUGAGCCACUGUUUCUUGCAUCCAGUACAGUGUCUCCUCUGGCCAGCAUUGGAGUCUUCAGAGGAUGGAGAAUCACUUCAAAGCCCCUGGCUAUUGUGCAAUGGUCUCCCCCAGGGGGAUCCCAGCUAGGGAUCAGAAGCCUGUGGGCGGCAGUAGCAGGCUCCGGUGCUGCUAGAAGGUUUCAGCCUGGAGAAUGCGAUGGUAUAAAUGUCUCCCUAAGCCUUUGCCGCUUGGGUCUGGCAGCCAGCUAGCAAAUGAAUUGCAACAGGUUUUCAAUCUGCCAUGAAGCACCAUUCCUCCUGCUGAACUUUGUGAACAAACGGAGGGGUUCUCUGACACAGAAGACCAGGUUUCAGAGCCAAGCCCUGAGUUGCUCCUGUCCCCAUCUGCAGUGUGGGCUUUAGCUGUCAGGACCAGCAGAGCCUUGUGGGUCUAGCUAUGUAAGAACCAGGACUCUCGGCUCAAAUAAGAGAGUGGCACGAGGUAAGAGAAGCAACCUGACAUGACCUGCUAAAAUCCAAAGGAAAAGGCAUGUUCCCUGGGACUGAAUACCAAUUCCGAUGCAGACAGCUGAUCUCUGAUCCCAAUUUAUUACUGGCAAUCGCAGCACAUUACUGACAGCAUCUGCAAAGUGGUGAAUUAAUGCAGCACAUUUCACCUACCGCAUGGUUCAUUUAACUGGAUUCAUUAAGAAAUUUUGGACCCACCCUCUGCAUUGUGGGGCACCAGAGAGCCUUGUACUUAUUAAAUUUUAUCUCGUUCCCCUCCCACACUGGCCAUGCCAGCGAAUGGAGUGGCUAGCUCCAGUCCCUUCUGUCUAUGGUAUUAAUACAGCCAAAGGCCUUGUCCACACACAAAAUUGAAUGGGUUUAAUCACAUUGGCUUAGUUAACAAGUACAAACCUCUGUGUGGACACUCUGAUUUAGUGUAUGAAUGAUUCAUUUUGGUUCAGCUUAACCGAGUUCCCCACUGACCUAAGAUGAACUGAAUUACUCAAAAUGCAUCCGAAGAAGUGGGCUGUAGUCCACGAAAGCUUAUGCUCUAAUAAAUUUGUUAGUC